rnacentral:misc_RNA from 1 species
CACCUCGUACAGAGUCCCGACAGGCUCCACCGCCUCCACCGGCGUCGGGAGCUUGUACCCUACCGACCCAUGCCCCGGCGCGGCGCCGGCUGGCCGGCCGCGCGCGGCGGCCGCGCCGGGGAAGUCGAGGCUGUGCGCCUUCCUGUCCCGCGGCGUCGGCGUCGGCGACGGGGACGGGGAGGGCGACUCGAGGUCCGCGGACUUGCGCGGGGACGAAGCUGCGGAGACGGACCCUGCGCCCGGCUUGGCCUUCGACCUAGACCUCAGCUUGCUGCGGGGCCACCACGCGGGCAUCGCGCCGCUGGCUGUCGCCCCCACCCGGGGGGGCGUCCGCGCGCUUGCCGGGUACGGUUCCCCCGCCAAGCUCGAACUGCCGCGGAGAGAUGGAGGGAGAGGAAGGGUGGGGGAG